rnacentral:rRNA from 1 species
UACGUAGGGGGCGAGCGUUGUCCGGAUUUACUGGGCGUAAAGGGUGAGUAGGCGGUUAUGUAUGUCAGAUGUAAAAGGCACAGGCUUAACUUGUGUAUGCAUUUGAAACUGCAUAACUUGAGUGCAGGAGAGGUAAGCGGAAUUCCUAGUGUAGCGGUGAAAUGCGUAGAUAUUAGGAGGAACACCGGUGGCGAAGGCGGCUUACUGGACUGUAACUGACGCUGAGUCACGAAAGCGUGGGUAGCAAACAGGAUUAGAUACCCUGGUA